UACGUAGGGGGCAAGCGUUGUCCGGAUUCAUUGGGCGUAAAGAGCGUGUAGGCGGCCAGGCAGGUCGGUUGUGAAAACUGGAGGCUCAACCUUCAGACGUCGACCGAAACCAUCUGGCUAGAGUCCGGGAGAGGAGAGUGGAAUUCCCGGUGUAGCAGUGAAAUGCGUAGAGAUCGGGAGGAACAUCAGUUGCGAAGGCGGCUCUCUGGACCAGCACUGACACUGAGGCACGAAAGCGUGGGGAGCAAACAGG
rnacentral:rRNA from 1 species